rnacentral:misc_RNA from 1 species
UUUCCGUAGGUGAACCUGCGGAAGGAUCAUUAUUGAAACUUGAAUCGUAGCAUCGAGAACUGUUGCUGACCUGUUAAAAGGUAUGUGCACGUUCGACGUGUUGCGUUCUAUUCAUCCACCUGUGCACCUUUGUAGACUUGAUUAACUUUCGCUCUCGAGCGGUUAGAAGGGUUGCUUUCGAGCUCCCCUUGUCUAUCAAGUCUAUGUCUAUAUAAUCUCUUGUAUGUCUAGAAUGUCUUGUUUAUGGGACGCAAGUCCUUUAAAUCUUAUACAACUUUCAACAACGGAUCUCUUGGCUCUC